rnacentral:rRNA from 1 species
GACGAACGCUGGCGGCGUGCUUAACACAUGCAAGUCGAACGGAAAGGCCCUGCUUUUGUGGGGUGCUCGAGUGGCGAACGGGUGAGUAACACGUGAGUAACCUGCCCUUGACUUUGGGAUAACUUCAGGAAACUGGGGCUAAUACCGGAUAGGAGCUCCUGCUGCAUGGUGGGGGUUGGAAAGUUUCGGCGGUUGGGGAUGGACUCGCGGCUUAUCAGCUUGUUGGUGAGGUAGUGGCUUACCAAGGCUUUGACGGGUAGCCGGCCUGAGAGGGUGACCGGCCACAUUGGGACUGAGAUACGGCCCAGACUCCUACGGGAGGCAGCAGUGGAGAAUAUUGCACAAUGGGCGGAAGCCUGAUGCAGCAACGCCGCGUGCGGGAUGACGGCCUUCGGGUUGUAAACCGCUUUCGCCGGUGACGAAGCGUGAGUGACGGUAAUGGGUAAAGAAGCACCGGCUAACUACGUG